UCAGGUGGUUAUAGCGUGAGGGUUCCACCUCUUCCCAUUCCGAACAGAGAAGUUAAGCCU
rnacentral:rRNA from 1 species